rnacentral:rRNA from 1 species
AGGAUGAACGCUGGCGGCGUGCUUAACACAUGCAAGUCAUGGGGGCCCAGCAAUGGGCAACCGGCGAACGGGUGCGUAACACGUGAGCAACCUACCCAGGUGUGGGGGAUAGCCGUCCCAACGGACGGGUAAUACCGCAUACGCUCAACACGAGGCAUUUCGAGUUGAGGAAACCUUCGGGGCACCAUGAGGGGCUCGCGGCCUAUCAGCUAGUUGGCGAGGUAACGGCUCACCAAGGCUACGACGGGUAGCUGGUCUGAGAGGAUGACCAGCCACAUUGGGACUGAGAAACGGCCCAGACUCCUACGGGAGGCAGCAGUGGGAAUCUUGCGCAAUGGCCUAACGGCUGACGCAGCGACGCCGCGUGAGGGAUGACGCUCUUCGGAGUGUAAACCUCUUUUGCCUGGAACGAACUAUCAGCUUCAGCUGAUUUGACGGUACCGGUGAAUAAGCACCGCUAACUCCGUGCCAGCAGCCGCGGUAA